ACCACUGCUCCUCCACCACGCAACAGAGGUACCACUGCUCCUCCACCACGCAACAGAGGUACCACCACUCCACCAAGAGACACCGGAAACCGAGGAAAUGUCUCAGCUGCUCCCAUCAUUAGGGAUACUGGAAUAGCGCCCGGGGCCUUGACGGUGACGCCGACGGUGGUGUUGGUGGGGGAGGAAGUGAUAGCUACCUUGGAGGUGACGUCAGGAGAUUGGUCAGGCCUUUAUUGGGACAUUGACUUCGGCGACGGAUCUUCACCAGUCACAGGCCCCUACUGUGAGUGUGUGUGUGUGUGUGUGUGUG